AUUACCCAAUAACUGGUAAUAUCCUUCUAUCCUUGAUAUGUUCAUCCUAACCGAUGACAGAUAUUUUCUUCCCCUGUUUUGAGUUUAUCCUUGAUAUGUUCAUCCUAACCGGUGACAAAUACUCUCACCUUCGGUAUUCUACCCAGUAAAAAGGUAGUUGUAAUCCAUAUGUUGUUCCCCAGAGAGUUAAUCCUUGAUAUGUUCAUCCUAACCGAUGACGGGUUUCCUUCUCUUUGGUCUUCUACCUAGUAACCGG
rnacentral:lncRNA from 1 species